UACGUAGGGGGCAAGCGUUGUCCGGAUUAUUGGGCGUAAAGAGCGUGUAGGCGGCCACACAGGUCUGCUGUGAAAACUCGAGGCUCAACCUCGAGCUGUCGGUGGAAACCGUGUGGCUAGAGUCCGGAAGAGGAGAGUGGAAUUCCCGGUGUAGCGGUGAAAUGCGCAGAUAUCGGGAAGAACACCCGUGGCGAAGGCGGCUCUCUGGGACGGUACUGACGCUGAGACGCGAAAGCGUGGGGA
rnacentral:rRNA from 1 species